rnacentral:rRNA from 1 species
UACGGGGGGGGUAAGCGUUGUUCGGAAUUACUGGGCGUAAAGGGCUCGUAGGCGGCCAACUAAGUCAGACGUGAAAUCCCUCAGCUUAACUGGGGAACUGCGUCUGAUACUGGAUGGCUUGGAUUCGGGAGAGGAAUGCGGAAUUCCAGGUGUAGCGGUGAAAUGCGUAGAUAUCUGGAGGAACACCGGUGGCGAAGGCGGCAUUCUGGACCGACAUUGACGCUGGAGCGAAAGCAUGGGGAGCGAACAGG